GUGCCAGCCGCCGCGGUAAUACAGAGGGUGCAAGCGUUAAUCGGAAUUACUGGGCGUAAAGCGCGCGUAGGUGGUUAGUUAAGUUGGAUGUGAAAUCCCCGGGCUCAACCUGGGAACUGCAUUCAAAACUGACGGGCUAGAGUAUGGUAGAGGGUGGUGGAAUUUCCUGUGUAGCGGUGAAAUGCGUAGAUAUAGGAAGGAACACCAGUGGCGAAGGCGACCACCUGGACUGAUACUGACACUGAGGUGCGAAAGCGUGGGGAGCAAACAGGAUUAGAUACCCCGGUAGUCC
rnacentral:rRNA from 1 species